UAAGCCAUGCAUGUCUAAGUAUAAGUAUUAUACAGCGAAACUGCGAAUGGCUCAUUAAAACCGUUAUAGUUUAUUCGAUUAUUUUCUCCUACAUGGAUAACCGUAGUAAUUCUAGAGCUAAUACAUGCUGUCAAACCUGACUUUUGUGGAAGGGUUGUAUUUAUUAGAUAUAAAACCAAUACCCAGCAAUGGGUUUUGUGAUGAUUCAUAAUAACUGAACGGACCGCGGCCGUGCUGCGGCGAAUCGUUCAAGUUUCUGCCCUAUCAGCUUUCGAUGGUAGUGUAUUGGACUACCAUGGCGAUCACGGGUAACGGGGAAUUAGGGUUCGAUUCCGGAGAGGGAGCCUGAGAAAUGGCUACCACAUCUAAGGAAGGCAGCAGGCGCGUAAAUUACCCAAUCCUGACACAGGGAGGUAGUGACAAUAAAUAACAAUGCGGAGCUCUUUGAGUUUCGUAAUUGGAAUGAGAACAACGUAAAUACCUUAACGAGAACCAAUUGGAGGGCAAGUCUGGUGCCAGCAGCCGCGGUAAUUCCAGCUCCAAUAGCGUAUAUUAAAGUUGUUGUGGUUAAAAAGCUCGUAGUUGGAUCUCAGCUCACGCUUGGCGGUCCACAAUGCGUGGUUACUGCCAGGCUGAGCACUUUACCGCAUUGUCCUGUGGUGCUUUUCAUCGAGUGUCACAGGCGGUCGGUACGUUUACUUUGAAAAAAUUAGAGUGCUCAAAGCAGGCAUUUCGCCUGAAUACUGUUGCAUGGAAUAAUGAAAUAGGACUUUGGUUCUAUUUUGUUGGUUUCUAGGACCGAAGUAAUGAUUAAUAGGGACAGUUGGGGGCAUUAGUAUUUAAUUGUCAGAGGUGAAAUUCUUGGAUUUAUGAAAGACUAACUUCUGCGAAAGCAUUUGCCAAGGAUGUUUUCAUUAAUCAAGAACGAAAGUUAGGGGAUCGAAGACGAUUAGAUACCGUCGUAGUCUUAACCAUAAACUAUGCCGACUAGGGAUCUGUGGGUGUUUUUUCAAGACUCCAUGGGCACCUUGUGAGAAAUCAAAGUUUUUGGGUUCCGGGGGGAGUAUGGUCGCAAGGCUGAAACUUAAAGGAAUUGACGGAAGGGCACCACAAGGAGUGGAGCCUGCGGCUUAAUUUGACUCAACACGGGGAAACUUACCAGGUUCAGACAUAGGUAGGAUUGACAGAUUGAGAGCUCUUUCUUGAUUCUAUGGGUGGUGGUGCAUGGCCGUUCUUAGUUGGUGGAGUGAUUUGUCUGGUUAAUUCCGUUAACGAACGAGACCUUAACCUGCUAACUAGUCGCCUUUACAUCAUAGGGGUUGACUUCUUAGAGGGACUUUGUGUGCAAGCACAAAGAAGUUUGAGGCAAUAACAGGUCUGUGAUGCCCUUAGAUAUCCUGGGCCGCACGCGUGCUACACUGAUGCGUUCAACAAGUUCUAUCCUGGCUCGGAAGAGUUCGGGUAACCUUUUUAAUGCGCAUCGUGAUGGGGAUAGAUCUUUGGAAUUAUAGAUCUUGAACGAGGAAUUCCUAGUAAGCAUAAGUCAUCAUCUUGUGCUGAUUACGUCCCUGCCCUUUGUACACACCGCCCGUCGCUCCUACCGAUUUUGAGUGGUCCGGUGAACCUUCUGGACUGCAUCUGGAUUCAAUCCAAGUGUGGGAAGUUAAGUAAACCUUAUCACUUAGAGGAAGGAGAA
rnacentral:rRNA from 1 species